GACAGAGGGUGCAAACGUUGUUCGGAAUUAUUGGGCGUAAAGGGUGCGUAGGCGGUUUGGUAAGUCUUAUGUGAAAUCUACAGGCUCAACUUGUAGUCUGCAUGAGAAACUGCCGGGCUUGAGUCCGGGAGAGGUGAGUGGAACUGCGAGUGUAGAGGUGAAAUUCGUAGAUAUUCGCAAGAACACCAGUGGCGAAGGCGGCUCACUGGCCCGGUACUGACGCUGAGGUGCGAAAGCGUGGGGAGCAAACAGG
rnacentral:rRNA from 1 species